ensembl:snRNA U6 U6 spliceosomal RNA
GUGCUCACUUUGGCAGCAUAUAUACUGACACUGGAAUGAUAGAGAGAAGAUUAGUGUGGGCCCUGGGCAAAGAUGACAUGAAAAUUCUUGGGGCAGGUAGGUGGUGC